rnacentral:rRNA from 1 species
UACGUAGGAUGCUAGCGUUGUCCGGAUUUACUGGGCGUAAAGCGCGCGCAGGCGGCACUGUAAGUAAGGUGUGAAAUUUCCCUGCUCAACGGGGAGGGUGCACUUUAGACUGCAGAGCUAGAGGACGGUAGAGGGGGGUGGAAUUGCUGGUGUAGCGGUGAAAUGCGUAGAGAUCAGCAGGAACACCCGUGGCGAAGGCGGCCCCCUGGGCCGAACCUGACGCUGAGGCGCGAAGGCUAGGGGAGCGAACGGG